UAUCCUGCAGUCGAACGGAAGGCCCUUCGGGGUGCUCGAGUGGCGAACGGGUGAGUAACACGUGGGUGAUCUGCCCUGCACUUUGGGAUAAGCCUGGGAAACUGGGUCUAAUACCGAAUAUACCCUGCUGGUCGCAUGGCCUGGUGGGGGAAAGCUUUUGCGGUGUGGGAUGGGCCCGCGGCCUAUCAGCUUGUUGGUGGGGUGAUGGCCUACCAAGGCGACGACGGGUAGCCGGCCUGAGAGGGUGACCGGCCACACUGGGACUGAGAUACGGCCCAGACUCCUACGGGAGGCAGCAGUGGGGAAUAUUGCACAAUGGGCGCAAGCCUGAUGCAGCGACGCCGCGUGAGGGAUGACGGCCUUCGGGUUGUAAACCUCUUUCAGCACAGACGAAGCGUGAGUGACGGUAUGUGCAGAAGAAGGACCGGCCAACUACGUGCCAGCAGCCGCGGUAAUACGUAGGGUCCGAGCGUUGUCCGGAAUUACUGGGCGUAAAGAGCUCGUAGGUGGUUUGUCGCGUUGUUCGUGAAAACUCACAGCUUAACUGUGGGCGUGCGGGCGAUACGGGCAGACUAGAGUACUGCAGGGGAGACUGGAAUUCCUGGUGUAGCGGUGGAAUGCGCAGAUAUCAGGAGGAACACCGGUGGCGAAGGCGGGUCUCUGGGCAGUAACUGACGCUGAGGAGCGAAAGCGUGGGGAGCGAACAGGAUUAGAUACCCUGGUAGUCCACGCCGUAAACGGUGGGUACUAGGUGUGGGUUUCCUUCCUUGGGAUCCGUGCCGUAGCUAACGCAUUAAGUACCCCGCCUGGGGAGUACGGCCGCAAGGCUAAAACUCAAAGGAAUUGACGGGGGCCCGCACAAGCGGCGGAGCAUGUGGAUUAAUUCGAUGCAACGCGAAGAACCUUACCUGGGUUUGACAUGCACAGGACG
rnacentral:rRNA from 1 species